ACAAUUAUCUGUGAGUCGCGAACGGGUGAGUAACGCGUAGGUAACCUAGCUUAUAGCGGGGGAUAACUAUUGGAAACGAUAGCUAAUACCGCAUAAAGGUGGUUGACCCAUGUUAACCAUUUAAAAGGAGCAACAGCUCCACUAUGAGAUGGACCUGCGUUGUAUUAGCUAGUUGGUAAGGUAAAGGCCUACCAACGCGACGAUACAUAGCCGACCUGAGAGGGUGAACGGCCACACUGGGACUGAGACACGGCCCAGACUCCUACGGGAGGCAGCAGUAGGGAAUCUUCGGCAAUGGGGGGAACCCUGACCGAGCAACGCCGCGUGAGUGAAGAAGGUUUUCGGAUCGUAAAGCUCUGUUGUUAGAGAAGAACAGUGAUGGGAGUGGAAAGUCCAUCAUUUGACGGUAACUAACCAGAAAGGGACGGCUAACUACGUGACAGCAGCCGCGGUAAUACGUAGGUCCCGAGCGUUGUCCGGAUUUAUUGGGCGUAAAGCGAGCGCAGGCGGUUUGAUAAGUCUGAAGUUAAAGUCAGUGGCUUAACCAUUGUAUGCUUUGGACACUGUUAAAACUUGAGUGCAGAAGGGGAGAGUGGAAUUCCAUGUGUAGCGGUGAAAUGCGUAGAUAUAUGG
rnacentral:rRNA from 1 species